ACUCCCAGAGUUCCUCAUUCAGCAAAGCAGGAAGUCAAAGCAGGCUGUAAUCAGUAGCUGAAGUAAGCAUUGCGUUGCCAGCCCGAAAGAAGCAGUAUGCAGUAAUUAUAGGACUGUUGCUGAAGUCCUAGGCUGCAUUAACAGAAGAACAGUAUCAAGGUCAAUUGAAGUGUUAGUACUGCUUUAUAUUCUAGAGAAGUGGUAUGUCAUAUCUCUCAGCUGCUCUGCAAAUAAUGGAACUAUUCAAACUGACAUUAUUGAUAAUAUAUUGGUAUGAAUCACAUACUGUGGAGAAUGGAUAUUGCCUUUACAGACUUUCACAAAUAUGCCUACCUUCUAGGAGCUAUUAAUGCUCCAAGCGGAAGAGAAGAAAUAUAGGAGUGACCUGCAUAGAAUUAUUAAUUUAAAUUGCAUUUAUGGACUGCAACUCAGAGUUUUCCUGAAACCAACAUCAUCCAGAGGAUGUAGGUACUGCAGCUCCCUCAAUUUCCUGUCAGUUUGGCCAAAGGGGCCCAACAGGAGCAUCCUAGAUAACAAAACGCUGA